GAUGAACGCUGGCGGCGUGCUUAACACAUGCAAGUCGAACGAGAAGUGGAGACGGAAACCUUCGGGCGGAAGACUUUACUUCGAGUGGCGGACGGGUGAGUAACGCGUGGGUAACCUGCCUCAUACAGGGGGAUAACAGUUGGAAACGACUGUUAAUCCCGCAUAAGACCACAGCACCGCAUGGUGCGGGGGUAAAAACUCCGGUGGUAUGAGAUGGACCCGCGUUCGAUUAGCCAGUUGGCGGGGUAACGGCCCACCAAAGCGACGAUCGAUAGCCGAUCUGAGAGGAUGACCGGCCACAUUGGGACUGAGACACGGCCCAAACUCCUACGGGAGGCAGCAGUGGGGAAUAUUGCACAAUGGGGGAAACCCUGAUGCAGCGACGCCGCGUGAGUGAAGAAGUAUUUCGGUAUGUAAAGCUCUAUCAGCAGGGAAGAAAAUGACAGUACCUGAGUAAGAAGCCCCGGCUAACUACGUG
rnacentral:rRNA from 1 species